UCUGGUGGUCACAGCGGAGGGGCCACACCCGGUUCCAUGCCGAACCCGGACGUUAAGCCCUCCAGCGCCCAUGGUACUGCAGAGGCUAUCUGUGGGAGAGUAGGUCGCCGCCAGGG
rfam:Aminobacterium colombiense DSM 12261, complete genome.